rnacentral:rRNA from 1 species
GACGAACGCUGGCGGCGUGCUUAACACAUGCAAGUCGAACGGAAAGGCCUGCUUUCCCUUGUGGAUUGCGGGUACUCGAGUGGCGAACGGGUGAGUAACACGUGAGUGAUCUGCCCCCAACUUGGGUAUAAGCCUGGGAAACUGGGUCUAAUUCCCGAUAGGACUGCAGGGUGGUGCCUGUGGUGGAAAACGAUUUUCUAGUGGUUGGGGAUGAGCUCGCGGCCUAUCAGCUUGUUGGUGGGGUAAUGGCCUACCAAGGCGGCGACGGGUAGCCGGCCUGAGAGGGUGGACGGCCACAUUGAGACUGAGAUACGGCCCAGACUCCUACGGGAGGCAGCAGUGGGGAAUAGUGCAAAAGGGGCGGAAGCCUGAUGCAGCGACGCCGCGUGGGGGAUGACGGCCUUCGGGUUGUAAACUCCUUUCGACCGCGAGGAAGCCACCUGGUUGGAAGGGUGGUGACGGUAGUGGUAGAAGAAGCACCGGCUAACUACGUG